GCUUAAGCACUGCCAAAAACCAUAUCUGCACUGAAAUCAAUUAUCUAUGUUUGGUGCGGACACUGAUAACAUGUCAAGGGGGUCUCUGCAUGAAGUGAGUCUGGGAAGUCAUCAAUAGAUUUGGAGCCAAUCUCAAGUCCUGAAGGAAGAUGACUUCCACUAACAUAGAUGGAGGACGUAUAGCCCAUUUCAGUGGGACACCCAGGGCCCCGCCUAUGGCGGUUGGAGCUCUGGCUUAAAUUCAGGCAGCUGA